GUGACGUCUUCAGAGACCCGUAUGUACGUGACGUGUCUCAAUCCCGGAAUUCAGCAGCGCAGGAACUUUCGAGCUGCGAGCAGAUUCAUCAUAAACAUCACAUAACCAACACAAUAAUUCGUGAUGGUGACGGACGUACAGCUGGCUAUAUUCGCCAACAUGCUGGGCGUGUCGCUCUUCCUGCUGGUGGUUCUGUAUCACUAUGUGGCCGUGAACAACCCUAAGAAACUGGAGUGAGGUUGAGAGGAUGUGGAACGGGGAGAAUCGGAGGAUGACCCAGCCUGUAAAUGUGCGUUUUGUAUGAAAACAUGGGAAUAAAUUGUCAAAGUGCGA